CACGUAGGCACCAAGCGUUGUCCGGAUUUAUUGGGCGUAAAGAGCUCGUAGGCGGUUCAGUAAGUCGGGUGUGAAAACUCUGGGCUCAACCCAGAGACGCCACCCGAUACUGCUGUGACUUGAGUACGGUAGGGGAGUGGGGAAUUCCUGGUGUAGCGGUGAAAUGCGCAGAUAUCAGGAGGAACACCAGUGGCGAAGGCGCCACUCUGGGCCGUAACUGACACUGAGGGACGAAAGCUAGGGGAGCGAACAGG
rnacentral:rRNA from 1 species